CUUUAUUUGCCAAUAAAAUCCUUUGUAAAUGUGAGUUUUAUUAAACUAUUUGAAUAGACAAAGUGAAAGUUAGGGUAGAAAAAAUAUAUAUACAUACAUAUAUAUAUGAAGUGAUGUCUUUGAGAUCCAAUUUCCAGCCUGAAAUGGCCUGAUUUUGGAUGUUAAUUUGUUUUCAGUGAAGUCAAUGAGAUUUGAGUCUAGCUGGGCAUUGGCUUAAAAAGCUGAAAGUGAAGUGGGUGGCAAGUGGCAGCUCCCUCUUUCAUGUAGUUUUCCAUAAUACUCACGGAGUUUCCUUAUGGUCUAUGUGAUAUAACUGGUGUUGAAAUAACUAUAUUAGAUGAAUAUUCCUUUUUGGAAUUCAAGGUUGACUCACUUUUUGAGGAGGGGGGUAGCAAGGGAUAAGAGACUUUAUUUUAACUAGAGGCAUUCUUAUAACCUCAAGAUGUACUCUAGAACUAGUAGGAGAACAAAAAGCGUACCUGUGAACAUAUUUUUUGUCUUAGAUUGCGCGACAGUGUUUGGAAUUGCAAAAA
rnacentral:lncRNA from 1 species